ensembl:processed_transcript
GUCUCUUAACUCAGUGGUUCCCAACCUUUUUCUUUGGGGCCCCCCCCAUGAACAUAUACAAACAUUGGAGCCCCCCCACCAUAUAAAUACACACGCACGCACAAACAUAUGUACUGUGUGUGUGUGUGUGUGUGUGUGUGUGUUUGUGUUUGUGUAAUAUUAAUAUAUAGUAAUAUGUAUAGAAAAUAUUAAUUAAUCAGUUUUAAGUUGUCUUGGCCUUCAAUAAAACCAAAAUCUAGGUAGGCUUUGUCAUACUGUCUAAUCUUUUUCUUCGCCUCUGAAGAAUCACUGCAUUUACGUUUGUCUGCCAUUUUUGUUUUGAUUUUGCCUUUACGACACGUUGACAAGCAGAUUGCGCAAGUGAGCAAAAUUUAAAUAAUUAUUUAAAGUUAUUUAUUUGAAUUAUUUUCACUAUUAUGUUGGAAUUUUAAGCACGCGUUUAGAUUUUUAUUUAUUUUUUUGGGCUGCUCGAUUUUGGGAAAAAUCAUAAUCACGAUUAUUUUGGUCAUAAUUGU